rnacentral:tRNA from 3 species
GCCGGCGUAGCUCAGUUGGUAGAGCAGCUCACUUGUAAUGAGAAGGUCGAGGGUUCGAUUCCUUUCGCCGGCACCA